rnacentral:rRNA from 1 species
GACGAACGCUGGCGGCGUGCUUAACACAUGCAAGUCGAACGGUAAGGCCCUUCGGGGUACACGAGUGGCGAACGGGUGAGUAACACGUGGGUGAUCUGCCCUGCACUUCGGGAUAAGCCUGGGAAACUGGGUCUAAUACCGGAUAGGACCACUGCCUGCAUGGGUGGUGGUGGAAAGCUUUUGCGGUGUGGGAUGGACCCGCGGCCUAUCAGCUUGUUGGUGGGGUGAUGGCCUACCAAGGCGACGACGGGUAGCAGGCCUGAGAGGGUGACCGGCCAAACUGGGACUGAGAUACGGCCCAGACUCCUACGGGAGGCAGCAGUGGGGGAUAUUGCACAAUGGGCGCAAGCCUGGUGCAGCGACGCCGCGUGAGGGAUGACGGCCUUCGGGUUGUAAACCUCUUUCAGCACCGACGAAGCGCAAGUGACGGUAGGUGCAGAAGAAGGACCGGCCAACUACGUGCCAGCCGCCGCGGUAACAC